AUUGAACGCUGGCGGAAUGCUUUACACAUGCAAGUCGAACGGUAGAGGGGGCAACCCCUUGAGAGUGGCGAACGGGUGAGUAAUAUAUCGGAACGUGCCCAGUCGUGGGGAUAACGUAGCGAAAGCUACGCUAAUACCGCAUACGAUCUACGGAUGAAAGCGGGGGAUCGCAAGACCUCGCGCGAUUGGAGCGGCCGAUAUCAGAUUAGGUAGUUGGUGAGGUAAAGGCUCACCAAGCCGACGAUCUGUAGCUGGUCUGAGAGGACGACCAGCCACACUGGGACUGAGACACGGCCAGACUCCUACGGGAGGCAGCAGUGGGAAUUUUGGGACAAUGGGCGCAAGCCUGAUCAGCAAUGACCGCGUGCAGGAUGAAAGCCUUCGGGUUGUAAACUG
rnacentral:rRNA from 1 species